ACAAGUUUCUGGAAAAGUUCACUGCAAUUAGCUCUGCACAGUAUCUUCCUACAGAAGCCGCAGCAGGGAUUGAUUUCCGAAUGACAUAAACCAACAGGUGGAUGGAGAACGAGGCCCUCUCACACAACCAGGAUUCCACUGGCUGCGCCUGCUGGGGGACCAGGACUGUGGAUGAAGCAACUUUACACAAUACGCGGAAGCAAUUGGGCCUCUGUUGACCCUGACAUAGACCGGCUACCCGGCCAGACCAACGCAGAAACUCCGCGCCGGGCAGCCUGCACCUCACCGCAGAAGCAGAGGUUGGGGUUCUAGAAAAAAUGCAGGUUCCAUCAUCUCAGCGUGGGAUUCAGACAGACCCCACCACCGCACAGCUCCCCAUGCAAGCCGCCAGCAGAGACACAGAGGGCAGAACUACAACGUCCCAUGUUCCAGGAACUCAGAGUUUCCAGGGAGCAAGGAGCUCGGGGAAAGGACGUGGGUGGAAGCCUUGAGGCGUGGACUGUCAGCAGAGAAAGAUAAAUAAAUGCUUCAUAUCUGAGCAUACAA